CGUUUUGAUUUAACGUGUCGUGAAAACCUAUACAGGGUGUCCUACGGUGAUUUACCCAUUGCGAUAUCUUGGAAAGUAUUGACUUCUUUAAAUAUUUUUUUUUUUAAAUUUAAGAAACAAAUUGCAAUAAAAAUGUACACUUUUAUAAUUUCCGUAGCCCUUAUUUUCAAGAGUGAAACGGCCCUUACCAAAUUUAAAAGUGGAAUAUUCCGUUAACGGUUUGACGUUUGAUUUACACUAAAUUAAUAUUCCCAUUCAUUGUAACGAAAAGGC